UACGGAGGGGGCUAGCGUUGCUCGGAAUUACUGGGCGUAAAGCGCGCGUAGGCGGCUUUGUAAGUUAGAGGUGAAAGCCCGGGGCUCAACCCCGGAAUAGCCUUUAAGACUGCCUCGCUUGAACACGGGAGAGGUGAGUGGAAUUCCGAGUGUAGAGGUGAAAUUCGUAGAUAUUCGGAAGAACACCAGUGGCGAAGGCGGCUCACUGGACCGUUACUGACGCUGAGGCGCGAAAGCGUGGGGAGCAAACAGG
rnacentral:rRNA from 1 species